GUUGAGAAUUGUUGGUCUAGAGGACUCCUGAAGAGCUGCUUGCCUUCAGUCUAUAAUGAGAUCUCAAGAGUUGUUGAUAAAGGAAUGCCACAACAAUUCUUUCUGCGGAGAGUGAGGGUAAGAAGGCAAAAAGCAAAGAUCCCUUCCUUCAUGUCCUUGUCAUUGGAUGGCCAUCAGAAGGAGCCAUCCAGAUUUAGGGUGAAUUCCCAUUUCAAGUAAGCCACCAAGGAAGUCUUCAACCAAGGAAGUCAUUCACAGAGUACUCAACAGCUUGUGUUUUAGUGGAUCUCAGAUGCAGUCAAGUUCGAAAGCAAAAUUAGCUAUCACAGGUGGUAUCCUGAUUUGGCCUGCCGACGGUUUCUUGUCUGGGGUGAGCAGACAUUUGCUCGUGUUUACCCAGGAAUAGUGUCAAACAACAUGCACUUGCUGGAUUGCCCUUUGGAAGGCUCUUUUUCUGCGCCAUGCCCAUUCCCAUCAUUCAAACCGCUGCUGUCACCCUAGAAAGUUCUCUGACUAUCUGAAAUAACCUUCUCUCAUUUCACUCUUAUCUUACCCGUCUUUAUUUUUUGCAUGUAUUUAUCUGUGGGGUGUGUUCAGGCCAUCACAUAUGUAUGAAGGUCAGAAGACAACUCAUGAAUGGAUUCUCUCCUUUCACCACAUGGAGCCUGGGGAUAGAACUCUGGUAGUUAGGCUUGGCAACACAUAAAUUUACCCACUAAACUCUGGUUAGUUGGCUUACGUGUGCUAAGAUUCAUCAUGCCUACACCACUGUCUGUGUUCAUUUACAACCCACCUCUCUUGUUACAAGGUAUAUCUAAAGGGACAAAGGCUUCUAUUGCUAUUUUUAGACAACCCCUCUCUCUAACAUAAUGUCUGGUGUGUAGCAGGCAUUCAGUGAACCCUCUCAUUAUUUGUAUAAUAAAUAAUGAAUGAGAGGAGAUUCCUUCUUGAAUGAACUUUGCAUCUGUCUCAUACUCUCAGAACUCGACUUCUGCCUGUUGGUUUCUAUAAUUCAGGUUCCUUUACAUCAGUGGUUCUCAACCAGAGGGUCGAAUGAUCCUUUCAUAGGGGUUGCCUAAGACUCCCAGAAAACACAGAUAUUUACAUUACAAUUCAAAGCAGUAGCAAAAUUGCAGCUAUGAAGUAGCAACAGAAAUAAUUUUAUGGUUGGGGUCACCACAACACAAGGAACUGUAUUAAAGGGCCACAGCAUUAGGAAGGUUGAGAACCACCACCUUACAUGGCGUCUUGGAAAUGGAAGGUGCUCAGUCAACUUUCCUUUUUUGUGUUCAUGUAUCAAUGGGAAGUAGAUAAUGCUUGUGACAGUGACGUUUAGGGGAGAUUCAUGGUUUCUGGUAGCUAAACAGGGACUCAAAACAGAGCUGAGGAUUCAGUGGGUAGAAGGCUUGACUCUGUGUCUGAUGAUCUAAGUUCAAUCCCCAGACUCCAUAUGGUGAAAGGCAAGAACUGACCUCCACAGGUUGUCUUUUGACACCCCCCCCCCACAUGUCACAGAACACACUCACAAGCACAUAAUAAUGUUGUAAAUAAUGCAAUAAAAUAAUUUCCUAAAAGCCAAUAUUUAUUUUAUUUUGCAACGACCCUAUCCAACAGUCCUUUUUUUUUUCUUUCUUUCUUUCUUUCCCAAAUACUAUUCCGGUGUAUUCGUGUUCACAAGAGAGACUGCUGAGCCCAUCCCCCAGCCAGGACACUUGGCCCUGAGUUGCUCAAGAGCCCUCAUCCUCAGUCAUUGCAGGGACUUGUUGCCAUGGAAACUGCAGCCAGUGUUUCCAUGGAGAAAGAGCUGCAGAGUCUGGAAUUUUCCAGGUUCUAAAGGUGAAUGUAUAUUCUCUUGAAAACAACUCUGAAUGCUUUCCCCCAGGCUGGCCUUCAUGGUAGCCACUGGCCACUCAUGGCUUACUGGCCACUUGAAUAUUGGCUGCUUUGAACAGAAGUGUGUCUCCAUCAGAGCACAUACACUAGAGGUUGAGGUGUUAUUACAAAACUUGGUUUUGAAAUGGUUGCCAUAAUUUUCUUAUUGAUCAAGUCUGUGUAUGGUUUCUGUUUUUAAUUUUCUGUGUUUUUUGUAUCAAAAAUUUUAAAUAGAUAAAAUUAAUUUAUUUUGUGUAUGCAGAAGGAUUUUUGUCUCCAUAAUGCACAUGUGGAGGUCAGAGGACAAGUUACAGGGGCUGCCUAUUGCUUUAGUUGCAAGGAUUGCGCUGAUGGCAUGAUUUUGUGAUUGAAGUGUUCUUCCUGUUGGAUUGCACUAGUCUAAAAUGUGUGUAAGUGAAUGCAUUUUGGUGGUAUAAUUUUGGGGGGUUUGUUAGAUAUUUGUUCCUCUCUCUCUCUCUCUCUUUGAGAAAAGGUCUGGCCUAAAAUUUACUCCACAGUCUGUGAUCAUUUUGAGCUUUUGAGCUUCCUGCCCCCACUUUCUGAAUGCUGUUAUUACAUGAUUACAGGUGUGCCCCCACCACACCACACCUGGUGAUACUGGAUAUUUAACUCGGAGCUUUGUGAACACUGGGCAAGUACUCUAUCAACUGAGCUAUACCUCCAGCUCUCUUUUAACUUCUUUUUAAAGGGUUAACCAAGAUGAGUGUCUGUAAUCCCAGUCCCUUCGAGGUGGAGGCAGGAGGAUCAGGAGUUCAGGGUCAUCCUUGGCUAUAGAGCUUUUCUAAGCCAGCUUAGAGUAAUCGGACCCUGAACAGACCCCUACCCCCAAAAAACUAACAACAGCAAUAGUAAUAGACUUAAUUAAAUAUGGUAGUCAAUGAGUUUACAAAUAAAAAUUUCAGUAGUGGAUUAGGUGAAGUCCAGAGAGUGAUCUACAAAAUAUUUUCUAUUUUCAUCUGAGUGAACUUAUUAAAUAUAUAGCAAGCC
rnacentral:lncRNA from 1 species